UAGGGAAUAUUGGGCAAUGGUCGAAAGACUGACCCAGCCAUGCCGCGUGCAGGACGAAGGCCCUCUGGGUUGUAAACUGCUUUUGCAGGAGAAGAAAAGCUGAUUUGCGAAUCAGUCUGACGGUAUUCUGCGAAUAAGCCACGGCUAACUACGUGCCAGCAGCCGCGGUAAUACGUAGGUGGCAAGCGUUGUCCGGAUUUAUUGGGUUUAAAGGGUGCGUAGGCGGGUAAUUAAGUCAGGGGUGAAAGACGGCAGCUCAACUGUCGCAGUGCCUUUGAUACUGGUUACCUUGAGUGCAGACGAGGUCUGUGGAAUGGGUGGUGUAGCGGUGAAAUGCUUAGAUACCAUCCAGAACACCAAUUGCGAAGGCAGCAGACUAGGGUGCAACUGACGCUGAGGCACGAAAGUGCGGGGAUCAAACAGG
rnacentral:rRNA from 1 species